UCCCUGAUAGCUCAGUUGGUAAAGAAUCUGUCUGCAAUGCAGGAGACCCUGGUUAAAUUCCUGGGUUGGGAA
rfam:TPA: Bos taurus chromosome 14, whole genome shotgun sequence.